AUAGGGGAGCCGGAGGGAAACCGAGUCUUAAUUGGGCGUUAAGUUGCAGGGUAUAGACCCGAAACCCGGUGAUCUAGCCAUGGGCAGGUUGAAGGUUGGGUAACACUAACUGGAGGACCGAACCGACUAAUGUUGAAAAAUUAGCGGAUGACCUGUGGCUGGGGGUGAAAGGCCAAUCAAACCGGGAGAUAGCUGGUUCUCCCCGAAAGCUAUUUAGGUAGCGCCUCGUGAAUUCAUCUCCGGGGGUAGAGCACUGUUUCGGCUAGGGGGCCAUCCCGGCUUACCAACCCGAUGCAAACUGCGAAUACCGGAGAAUGUUAUCACGGGAGACACACGGCGGGUGCUAACGUCCGUCGUGAAGAGGGAAACAACCCAGACCGCCAGCUAAGGUCCCAAAGUCAUGGUUAAGUGGGAAACGAUGUGGGAAGGCCCAGACAGCCAGGAUGUUGGCUUAGAAGCAGCCAUCAUUUAAAGAAAGCGUAAUAGCUCACUGGUCGAGUCGGCCUGCGCGGAAGAUGUAACGGGGCUAAACCAUGCACCGAAGCUGCGGCAGCGAACGUAUCACUUAAAGCGAUUCAGCGGGUUACGAUUGACGGAGCGAAGCGACGUCAAAGCGUAUACAAAGUCGAGUCGGUUUAAGGAUACGUUCGUUGGGUAGGG
rnacentral:rRNA from 1 species